GCUCUACGGACUCCCCUGAGCUCGGUGGAGCUCCUCGCUUUCCCGCCCUGGGCUGGCGAAGAGGAGGCGGCCCGAGGCGCGUGGGGAAGGCAAAGGGGGCACGCUGGAGGAGGAGGGCGCGCAAUGGCAGGAGGUGAUGGCAGGGAAGAGGCGAAGGGGACGGAACGGGACUGGAUUUACAUAGUGAUUCCCUCUGAUGUGAAUGCAGCAUCUCUUGUCCCUCUGGGAUGCCAUAGGUGAUGGCCAGCUCUACUGCAAUGGCAAUUGGCGCUCUCUCUAGUUCUCUUCUUGUAACCUGCUGUCUCAUGGUUGCUCUCUGUAGCUCCACCAUACCUGUGCAAAAACUGGCCAAGGCUCCAGACAAACAGGAGAUAAAAACAAGCCAGGAAAAGAGGGAUCAUACAUCAAGCAGGCCGGACAGUCAGAGUCAGACAGGCCCAGGGAAAAUGAAUGAAAUUGGAAGGAAUGGGCGGGAAGAGGGCACCAGAGAUUGGAAGAGUAAAGGAAACAGAAAUUAUUCAAACAAAGAAUCUUGGACUAGGCAAAAACAAGUUUGGAAUAGUCAAGGAACAAGCGGUAAAUCUGGGAACAUUCAAGCACAGGAGCAAAGGGACGGUGUUCCAGAGGAACCUCAGGCAGCUGAAGAAUCAUUCCUCCCAGAAGUUGUUGCUAGUACUACUCCUGAGCCUCCAGAGGAGUAUGCCUAUCCAGAUUACCGUGGGAAAGGCUGUGUGGAUGAGAGUGGCUUUGUUUAUGCUAUCGGGGAGAAGUUUACUCCAGGUCCCUCUGCUUGCCCCUGCCUUUGCACUGAUGAGGGACCUCUGUGCAUUCAACCUGAGUGCCCAAGACUCCAUCCCCGGUGUAUUCAUGUAGACACCAGUCAGUGCUGCCCACAGUGCAAAGAGAGGAAGAACUACUGUGAGUUCAGAGGAAAGACCUACCAGACACUAGAAGAAUUCAUGGUUUCCCCAUGUGAGAAAUGCCGUUGUGAAGCCAAUGGUGAAGUGCUGUGCACAGUGUCUGCUUGUCCUCAGACUGAAUGUGUGGAUCCAGUGUACGAGCCAGAUCAAUGCUGCCCCAUCUGCAAAAAUGGCCCAAACUGCUUUGCAGAAACCACUGUCAUUCCAGCUGGCCGAGAGGUGAAGACUGAUGAAUGUACUAUAUGUCACUGUACUUACGAAGAAGGCACUUGGAGAAUUGAACGACAAGCUAUGUGCACUAGACAUGAAUGCAAACAAAUCUAGGGAAUCUACAAAUCAAAAGUACUAUAGGGUUUUCACCGCAGUGAAGUAUUUUAUAAAAACAUCAGAUAAGCCUGGGAAAGAUUAUUCAUUGUAAUAAGAAUAUUUUUGGUGAGGAGAAAAGAUCAUCAUAUUGGUAUUUUGUUUUUCAUAGUAAUGUAAUACUGCAAGACAAAGAAAUCCAUAUAUUUAAAAAAGUUUGGACAUAAAAAUCCUGUCUUAACAUUUUAUUUUCACGACUUCUAUCAGGAUUUUAAUGGAAGUUUUGCCAUUGACUUCGAGGGGCCAGGAUUUCACAUCAAGUAUGGAUUUUGCCCACAUAGCUAUCAAUCACCAGACAACUGUUUGUUUCUCAACCAGAUCAAGGACAAGAAAAUCAGGAAACUACAAAGCAGCAAAGACAUAAAAUGCACAGCAAGCUUAAGUAACCAUAACAAUUACAAAUCUGAAGACAAAUAAUCCUACGACAAAAUGUACCUUCAAGUUCACAUAUAGCCUCAGUACAUCCCAGGUGGACAAUCAAGGAAAGUGGGUUUUGGACUGAUUAUGAUUUUUUUCAAACCUCUUCUCAACCCAUCAACUAUCAAAAUGAUUUUCCUCAAGCCUAUGUACAUGUAUAUAAAGUACAUCAAAAUAUUAUACUAAAAAGCUAUUAUCAAUAAGCAGCAGAAAGAAUGUCCAACACGUACCCUAAAUGUUUCACUCUUAGCAUAAAAAUAUUACUCUGCUAGCGGUAGUAAAUGGAAAUCACUAAUGGGCAGAUUGUGAAGAGCAUCAUCACGUGUGCACCCCAUAUGCUAAGCACUCUGGACAUAAAAGUGCUUGAUCCUGCUACCUAUACCGACAAUAGUACCUCAUUCCCUGAGUAGAAAUUACUAGCGCAGUAAGGUCCUACUCAGUCUAACUAAAGGUGGCAGAAUUUGGCCCUAAAUCAGAGCCAAAUCCUAUUCACCUUACAAAAGUAGUUAUGUUACUCAGAUGAAUAAAGCAAACAGAUUUUGGUCCCAAGUUGCUAAGAGCUAGAUUCAGAAAGGUACUUAGGAUUCCAACAUUUAGGUGCCACUGGCAUUCUGAAAACCACCACUCAGGCACCUGCAGGGCUAGGCGGAAGCUGAGUUGCUACCAGUCAGCAUGUGCAAAGCCCUGAUGCUGCCCCACAGCUAAUGAGUAAGGUUCUGAGCAACCCAAGCCAAAGCCCUCUUAGGAUUCUCAACCCAGGCAUUCUCCACCUUCAACAGAAUUGAUUGAAAGACCCAACCCAGAAUACCCACCAACACAGAGAUUAGGGCACUCAUCUGGAAUGUAGGAAAGGUAGGUUCAAAUCCCUGUUCCAAUUCAGGGGCAUAGUUAAUACUGAGCAUUUUCCACUUCAGAUUUUUAAUCCUGAUACCAACGUAUCCAUUUCACCCAAAUUUCCUGUCUGAUUUAUGUGAUUCCUCAUGAUUUCUCAGGUCUUUCUAGUUUACUGAAGUUGUUUCUCUAAUAUUGUUGAGUUGCAGAGACUGCUGUUUAAAAAUCACGAUUGGGAGGAUGACAAGAUGGCUAUGGAGAUUCAUAAUGGGCUAUGGAGUCUUUUACAUCUAGGUCACCGAACAAAAAGCCAGCCCAGGUCCACUAUUGCCAGCUGAGGGCUGUUCAGUGGUCUGUGUGAAAUUGAUGGGCAAAGGCAAAUUUCUAGCACAGAUGUCAAUGCUACACAGAAAAUAACCCAUAAUUGACUCUGACUGGCAUUCUUGUUGACAACCUCAGUAAAAAGGCAAAGGAGUGAACAAGCACACUCCACAAGGGUGAUUCUACUAUGUCAGUGAACAGGAACAUUGGCAAUGUAAUGUGUGAGAGCCUGUCAGUAUGUACCUGUAGAUGUGAACUUCAGGCUCCAGCACUGUGAUUUUGGCACCUUGUAGAUGCACUAUUUUUUACUUAGCAUUUAAAAGGUGGUAAUGGGAAGAUUUAAAAUAGAUUAGGGCUGAUUUAGCCACUGUGAAAGAACAAUGUCCUCUCCCCUUCAAAAAUGAAAAGGAAUAUACAACCUGCAGUGGGAUGCUGUCCCUCCCCAGGUGCUGAGGACUAUAGCAGAAAGAAAAAAGUUACAUUUUUCAGAGAGUCUUUCAAAUAGCAGUAGAAAAGAACAAUAAAACCUUACCAAACAUGGAAUACAGGAAACAAGGACUAUCCAGCUGUAGUAUCAGAGGGGUAGCCGUGUUAGUCUGGUUCUGUAGAAGCAGCAAAGAAUCCUGUGGCACCUU